UUGGAAUAGCUUCUUCCGCUGGGAGUCGCUCGUGGUCGACGUGGAACUCAAUUUUAUCCUGAUGCGGGACCCGCAUGUAUCAAAUAUAUAUAUAUAUAUAUAUAUAUCACCGUUAUGUAUUUGUCUCAAUAUGCUUCAUGACUAUUAAUGUGUAUGUACAAGAAUUACUCCUCCCGAAUUGCUUAUCACUGUAUACGUAUAACAUAUAAAGAAUCCGCUUCGACAUUCUCUCAGACAGGUGAUCGGCGACGCUGGAAAUGGCGAAUGGAAGCGGCGGUGGCGACGGCGACGCUAGGGAUUUGGGACGAAGAAGGAUGCAGUAAGAGCAUUCUCCAGGAGUGGCAGCUCCGAUCUCGAACUGUCUUUCGGACAGCCUUCGUUCCCUCCCAAAACCCUAACCCUGAAACCCUCGUCGUCGCGCCUCCAGCGACGGUUCCAUCGCCACCCUCUCAGGUAAUCACCGCGUCCUUAGACUUUCUUCUUGGAAUUGAAGGGUUUGUGGUUAUGUCUUUGCUGAACUCUACCUUAAUUUGCAGUGAGCUUAUGCUCACUCGAUGAGAGAAGACAAAAAGUAAGGGCAGAAGGGAAUGGAAAAGAGUAGAAGGAAAGAUCAAUAUCGAUUUCCUUCUUUGUUAAUGCAAUAGUUCCUAGAACCUCUAUUUGAACAUGCAAUAUGGGUCUUGCCGGAUGCCAAUUGAGGGUAUUAACAUUGGAUUUACAUUUGGACAUCUUUGUCUGUAUCCGGCACAUCUGCAAGUAUCUAAUCACCAGCGAUAUUGUGAUGAUGCUCAUGAUUUUCUAUUUGACCGUUUUUGUGUUUUGUGGUUGGAUAGUGUUUGGUAAAAACAAACAAGAAAUCAUCUCAACAUGCGAGGACAGGAAGUAUCCAGCGACAUUUCUUGCAUUGAUGGCAUUGCUCUUUUCUAAAGCAGUGUCAGGAUUAUAUGUGGCCCUUUACUGGCGGAGCCAUGUUGUAUCAUUUGGGACACAAGGGCUCUGCAUCUGGUUAACACGGAUCCCAUAUUGGUAUAAACCUGAAUGCAAAAAUGAGAUUGGUACACAUGUCAGUUGUUUCAUUUUUCUGAUUGGUUUGCUUUGUUUGUUAAAAAGAGCAUCACUUGGUUGGUUGUGUACGUUAAUUUAUCUUAAACCGUGAGAUGCAAUUUUACUUAGAUGGUAUACACCAACUGGUACUUAUUGAUUCGAGAAUGAACCGAAAGCGGUCCACAAGUGGUCUUGUACCACAUAGGAACCACCAAAAUGGGGCAGUCCACAUGUGGGUAGGUUGUACAUAGUGACCCUCCCCCAAGCCCCAUCUUGGUAGGAGCCUAUUGUAUCUAACAUCCAUCCUUUACAAAUACGAUAAGUACUUGAAAGAUUUAUGUUUCAUUGGUCAUACAUGUGUCUUAGAGUAUGUUAUGAAGUAUCCAACAAGUGUCAUACUUUGAUGGGUAUGCAAUGAAAAUUUUGGCGUGUCCGUGUUCAUAGGUGUACCUUUGACCACACACAAACUCUACAUUGGAUGGAGCCUCAAGUUCUGGGUUGCAUUUUCAGUUUCUUUGAAAAGUGGUGCCAAAACAAUUUUCUGGGUUGAAAUUCAGAGAAACAAUAUAUCAGGUUAAACUUAGCGCUAUCUCAGAAUGAUUUUAAAGUAUUUCAGGAUGUUAUAAUUAUCUAGUAAAUAAUUAAUGCUGCUAGUGGAUGUCAAUGAGUUCCUUUUUUCUGGAAUAUUCUGCUUCAAUAUGUAUCUCCCUUAAGAAUAUACUAGUUUUGUUUGGAUUCAUUAAUUCACACUAAAGUAGUAUAUGGCACGCAUCUUGUUUUACUUCUGAACUGUGCUGCAAUCUUUCCUUUUUAAAUAACAAAAAUCGUAGUCUUAUGUAUUAGAUUUCCCCUUAGAGGCUUGUGAUACUGGUUCCAGGUUAUCAGUUUGGAAUCUGCUAUCUGGUGAAUGUGUUUGUAGUAUAAACAGUCAUGCACGGUGCAAGAUUUACUGAUCGAUGAUGACCAAGUAAGUUCAUGCAACUAUAGAUAUAUGCUCAAACUGACACAUUGUUCGCCUUUUACCCCAUAUCUAUCAUGAGACACCUGCCAAGAGAAUGAAUUCCCUAUUGCUGUGUGCUUGCUUGACCACUGGUCCACCAUCGAAGAUUCUUGCUACCGCUUGGAUUGCUGCCGAUGCUGGUCUUCUCCUAUCUGUGUGUCUGAUCCGUUGAUCAUUCCUGCCUGAAUAUGCCACCACAAUUGGGUGGUCUCAUUGAGGUGGCACACAAAAGCCUCAUCCGGAGAAAAUCCUGCAUGCCAUUCACAACAUGAACCACGGUCUGCACACCACCAGGUUUUAGUAAAGUUCAUUUGUUCAUUUUUAACUGCUUCACAAUUUGUUUACGGAAAGUUUCUUCUAAGUUUGUGGCAUCAACACAAUGCUUGCCAUUGUGUUCUUCCGGCACCCUAAAAGAUUUUACACCAUCAGUUUAAUGUCUGUCUAUAUGAUUACAUUUUUUGUAAUUUUAACUGUUUAUUAUGGUAGUCUGUUGUCAAGCUUUGUCCAACUCUCAUAUAUUAUGUAUCUUGACUAUGUACUUUUAAUUGGUUCCGUUUUGCUUUUUUGGCCCUAUAA